AGGAGCUGUGUGCUGAAGGUGCUGAGGUAUAUAUUACUAUUAUUGUACCGUAGAGUGUAGGAGCUGUGUGCUGAAGGUGCUGAGGUAUAUAUUACUAUUAUUGUACCGUAGAGUGUAGGAGCUGUGUGCUGAAGGUGCUGAGGUAUAUAUUACUAUUAUUGUACCGUAGAGUGUAGGAGCUGUGUGCUGAAGGUGCUGAGGUAUAUAUUACUAUUAUUGUACCGUAGAGUGUAGGAGCUGUGUGCUGAAGGUGCUGAGGUAUAUAUUACUAUUAUUGUACCGUAGAGUGUAGGAGCUGUGUGCUGAAGGUGCUGAGGUAUAUAUUACUAUUAUUGUACCGUAGAGUGUAGGAGCUGUGUGCUGAAGGUGCUGAGGUAUAUAUUACUAUUAUUGUACCGUAGAGUGUAGGAGCUGUGUGCUGAAGGUGCUGAGGUAUACAUUACUAUUAUUGUACUGUAGAGUGUAGGAGCUGGGUGCUGAAGGUGCUGAGGUAUAUAUUACUAUUAUUGUACCGUAGAGUGUAGGAGCUGUGUGCUGAAGGUGCUGAGGUAUAUAUUACUAUUAUUGUACCGUAGAGUGUAGGAGCUGUGUGCUGAAGGUGCUGAGGUAUACAUUACUAUUAUUGUACUGUAGAGUGUAGGAGCUGGGUGCUGAAGGUGCUGAGGUAUAUAUUACUAUUAUUGUACCGUAGAGUGUAGGAGCUGUGUGCUGAAGGUGCUGAGGUAUAUAUUACUAUUAUUGUACCGUAGAGUGUAGGAGCUGUGUGCUGAAGGUGCUGAGGUAUACAUUACUAUUAUUGUACUGUAGAGUGUAGGAGCUGUGUGCUGAAGGUGCUGAGGUAUACAUUACUAUUAUUGUACUGUAGAGUGUAGGAGCUGGGUGCUGAAGGUGCUGAGGCAUAUAUUACUAU